GAUCCAGAGUGCUGAUCUGUGUUCAUGGCACAAGUGUGCGUGCAUUGCUGAAAUAUUUAAACAAAGUGCCUGAAGAAGAAAUCAUUGAUCUUAAUAUUCCAACAGGAAUACCUUUAGUUUUUGAGUUUGACAAAGACCUUAGUCCAGUACGUCACUACUAUCUAGCUGAUGAGGCCAAAGUACAAGCAGCCAUACAGAAGGUGGCAGAUCAGGGAAAAGCAAGGAACUGAAAACCUAACAUUUUUCACUUUUUCAUUAUUUUUGUCUUCCAUUUUUUUUCUACUAUUUCCUGAGAGGACUGUUAAUGUGUACUUUUGAUACAAAUUAGUAUUACUUUGAAAUUCUUUCCUUACCCAAAAGAUUUCUCUGAUUUAUAAUUUAGAUUAUUUUAAUGGUAAUCCUAGCUUGCACAAAUCUUUCUAUGUUUUUGUUUACCAGGGAGUAUUAUCAGACACUUUUGACUUUGGGAUAUUUGACAAAUGGUGACUUUUCCUUCAUUUAGUAUAUGAAGAAUAGCCUAAAGUCAUAUUUUGCCAAAAUGGGAAUUUUUUACAAACAGAUUAAAAAAUAUGUUGAAAUUUUCUAGGGACUCAUUUGAUGUGGGUGCAGGUUGUUUCUAAAAUUAUGCAAUGAAUACAUACUGGUGUACAUGUGGCAAAGUAAUAAUGUGGCACGCUCUUGCAGUAUUAUUUACCAUGGGUCUCAAUUCAGAUGAUUCUUGCAUCAACUGUGUUGUGGUCUUGUUAAGUUUCUGACAAACUUUGUCAUGUCAUUUUGUACAACAGAAGAAAUGAUCAAGUUGUUAAAAUACCAAUUAGACAAGUAGGAAAAUAUCUUUAGGGAUUAUAAGUUAAGUUAUUGAAGUCACAGUUUUCUGAGGAGUUUGUUUGAACAAAUGAGACGUUUUAACAUUUCCAAUCCAUGGUUUGUAUGCUUUCAUAUUUCUGUAAAUUACCUUGUGAAAUAAGUUGAAAACAAUUUAUUUGAGAAUUUAAUCGAUAUCUAGCUUUAAGAAAACUGUGACUGUUUUUAGACAUUAACUUUGAUUUUAACAUAAAAUGCUGUUACAUGUACAAGUCUUCUUGCUUAAACAGUAAGAUUCUUUUUAAUGUUAUUUAAAAGAUGUAGGGUGUGACAAAACUCUUUUUAAUCCGCGCAGCUCAUUUGUUGAUUCUUUUUUGCUCAAUUGCAAAUCUUUUUGUCACAGUGACUGUGAAAGCGUCCAUUUCAGUUUUAUCACAACAGUGGUGCAAAUAAUUUUUUUGAACAUAUACUUUUGUCAAAAGGUAGCGUUUUUUCCGUUAAUAAUACUUGUUAAUUAAGCAAACUAAUUAAUAAAUUGUCAGAAAUCUAUCAGACAGAUCCUACUGAAGCAACUCAAUGAGUAUUAAAAUAUGUUUACAGGAUAGGUAAAUAUUACCUAAUUGACAACUUGAUUUUUUUUACAAUAAAUAUGGACAUUUUUA